GAAUUUCUGUGCAGACGCGGGUCCAAGAGUAUGGAGGAGGAUAUUUUAGUAUUUCUGGGGACACUGUGUUGUUCUCCAAUUAUAAAGAUCAGAGAUUGUACAAGCAAUCAAUCAAUUCCAAAGAUUCUUGUCCAGUACCAAUCACUCCAGAUUAUGGAGAACCGGUUAUCAGUUAUGCUGAUGGAAUUUUUGAUUCAAGGUUUAAUCGUUAUAUCACUGUAAUGGAAGAUCGCCAUCUAAUUAGUUUAAAUUCAACAACAA